rnacentral:rRNA from 1 species
AUGAACGCUAGCGGCAGGCCUAAUACAUGCAAGUCGAACGGGCGAUAGCAAUAUCGCUAGUGGCGCACGGGUGCGUAACGCGUAACCAACCUGCCCUGAACUGGGGGAUAGCCCGCCGAAAGGCGGAUUAAUACCGCAUAAACCAACAGAGUGGCAUCACUUAAUUGGUAAAGAUUUAUUGGUUCAGGAUGGGGUUGCGUGACAUUAGCUAGAUGGCGGGGUAACGGCCCACCAUGGCGACGAUGUCUAGGGGACCUGAGAGGGUGAUCCCCCACACUGGCACUGAGAUACGGGCCAGACUCCUACGGGAGGCAGCAGUAGGGAAUAUUGGGCAAUGGGCGAGAGCCUGACCCAGCCAUGCCGCGUGCCGGAUGAAGGCCUUCUGGGUUGUAAACGGCUUUUCUCAGGGAAGAAAAAGAGGAUGCGUCCUAAACUGACGGUACCUGAGGAAUAAGCACCGGCUAACUCCGU